rnacentral:rRNA from 1 species
UACAGAGGGUGCGAGCGUUAAUCGGAAUUACUGGGCGUAAAGCGUGCGUAGACGGUUUCGUAAGUCGGGUGUGAAAUCCCCGGGCUCAGCCUGGGAAUUGCAUUCGAAACUGCGAGGCUAGGGUACGGAAGAGGGAAGCGGAAUUUCUGGUGUAGCGGUGAAAUGCGUAGAUAUCAGAAGGAACAUCAGUGGCGAAAGCGGCUUCCUGGUCCAGUACCGACGUUCAGGCACGAAAGCGUGGGGAGCAAACAGG